UGGGGAAUCUUGGACAAUGGGGGCAACCCUGAUCCAGCCAUGCCGCGUGAGUGAUGAAGGCCUUAGGGUCGUAAAGCUCUUUCGCCUGUGAAGAUAAUGACGGUAGCAGGUAAAGAAACCCCGGCUAACUCCGUGCCAGCAGCCGCGGUAAUACGGAGGGGGUUAGCGUUGUUCGGAAUUACUGGGCGUAAAGCGCACGUAGGCGGACCAGAAAGUUGGGGGUGAAAUCCCGGGGGCUCAACCCCGGAACUGCCUCCAAAACUAUUGGUCUAGAGUUCGAGAGAGGUGAGUGGAAUUCCAAGUGUAGAGGUGAAAUUCGUAGAUAUUUGGAGGAACACCAGUGGCGAAGGCGGCUCACUGGCUCGAUACUGACGCUGAGGUGCGAAAGUGUGGGGAGCAAACAGGAUUAGAUACCCUGGUAGUCCACACCGUAAAACGAUGAAUGCCAGUCGUCGGAUAGCAUGCUAUUCGGUGACACACCUAACGGAUUAAGCAUUCCGCCUGGGGAGUACGGUCGCAAGAUUAAAAC
rnacentral:rRNA from 1 species